rnacentral:rRNA from 1 species
GAUGAACGCUGGCGGCGUGCCUAAUACAUGCAAGUCGAGCGAACAGACGAGGAGCUUGCUCCUCUGACGUUAGCGGCGGACGGGUGAGUAACACGUGGAUAACCUACCUAUAAGACUGGGAUAACUUCGGGAAACCGGAGCUAAUACCGGAUAAUAUAUUGAACCGCAUGGUUCAAUAGUGAAAGACGGUUUUGCUGUCACUUAUAGAUGGAUCCGCGCCGCAUUAGCUAGUUGGUAAGGUAACGGCUUACCAAGGCAACGAUGCGUAGCCGACCUGAGAGGGUGAUCGGCCACACUGGAACUGAGACACGGUCCAGACUCCUACGGGAGGCAGCAGUAGGGAAUCUUCCGCAAUGGGCGAAAGCCUGGCGGAGCAACGCCGCGUGAGUGAUGAAGGUCUUCGGAUCGUAAAACUCUAUUAUUAGGGAAGAACAAAUGUGUAAGUAACUAUGCACGUCUUGACGGUACCUAAUCAGAAAGCCACGGCUAACUACGUG